rnacentral:rRNA from 1 species
UUAGAUGCGAGAGUAGAGCAUAUCAAUAAGCGGAGGAAAAGAAACUAACAAGGAUUCCCUUAGUAACGGCGAGUGAAGCGGGAAGAGCUCAAAUUUGAAAUCUUCAAGGUUCUACCUUGACGAAUUGUAGUUUAAAGAAGUGUUUUCUGUUAGAUGAGUAGCAAAAGUUCCUUGGAAUGGGACAUCAUAGAGGGUGAGAAUCCCGUAUUUGGUUAUUCAUUCUAGCUUUGUGAUACACUUUCAAAGAGUCGGAUUGUUUGGGAAUGCAGUCCAAAAUGGGUGGUAAAUUUCAUCUAAAGCUAAAUAUUGGCGAGAGACCGAUAGCGAACAAGUACCGUGAGGGAAAGAUGAAAAGAACUUUGAAAAGAGAGUUAAACAGUACGUGAAAUUGUCAAAAGGGAAGCGUUUGACACCAGUGUUGUUUUUCCGAAAAUCAAUUACGAAUGGCUUGAUUUUGUGUUGUAUUGACCUUAUCAGCUUUCUGCACUUUUUUCAAGUCUUUCUUAAUGCACUUUUCGGUUAACAAGUCAACAUCAAUUUCCUUUGUUGUAAAAGAGUAUUCGGAAGGUGGCUUUCUUUUCGGAGAAAGUGUUUAUAGCCCUACACUUCUACAAUCGGAGAGAUUGAGGUCUGCAGCGUAGAUCCUUCGGGGUUAGAUACAUUUGUGCUAAGCUACAGCUUUUCAUAGACAACUUGUUGACUAUGUUUAGUCAUUGGGACUUACCUCGCUUAUGCUAUUUUACCUACGCUUAGGAUGUUGAGCGCAUGUCUCUCUCU